GUGCUGGCUUCAGCAGCACAUAUCCUACAAUUGAAUAAUACAGAGAAGUUUAGCAUGGCUCUUGCCCAAGGAUAGCACACAAAUUCAUGAAGCAUUCCAUAUUUUU